UACAGAGGGUGCAAGCGUUGUUCGGAAUUAUUGGGCGUAAAGGGUGCGUAGGCGGUGCGGUAAGUCUUUUGUGAAAUCUCCGGGCUCAACUCGGAGUCUGCAAGGGAAACUGCCGUGCUUGAGUAUGGGAGAGGUGAGUGGAAUUCCUGGUGUAGCGGUGAAAUGCGCAGAUAUCGGGAAGAACACCCGUGGCGAAGGCGGUUCUCUGGGACGGUACUGACGCUGGGACGCGAAAGCGUGGGGAGCGAACAGG
rnacentral:rRNA from 1 species